rnacentral:tRNA from 1 species
UCCUCAGUAGCUCAGUGGUAGAGCAGAUGGCUGUUAACCAUCGGGUCGGCAGUUCGAGUCUGUCCUGGGGAGCCA